rnacentral:rRNA from 1 species
GAUGAACGCUGGCGGCAUGCCUAAUACAUGCAAGUCGAACGGACAGAAGAGAAAAGCUUGCUUUUUUUGGGAGUCAGUGGCGAACGGGUGAGUAACACGUAGGUAACCUGCCCACUGUGCCCGGGAGUAAUUUCUGGAAACGGAAACUAAAACCGGAUAGGUAGGGAUCUCGCAUGAGGACCUUAUUAAAGGGGCUACGGCCCUGAACAUGGAUGGACCUGCGGUGCAUUAGCUAGUUGGUGGGAUAACGGCCUACCAAGGCGACGAUGCAUAGCCGACCUGGGAGGGCGAACGGCCACAUUGGGACUGAGACACGGCCCAA